ensembl:snRNA U7 U7 small nuclear RNA
UACUGCUACAGCUCUUUCAGAAUUUGUCUAGCAGGUUUUUUGAUCUUCACUGGAAAGCAGCCCCC